rnacentral:rRNA from 1 species
GAGACUCUGUGCGCGUGCAUAUCAAUAAGCGGAGGAAAAGAAACUAACUAGGAUUCCCUCAGUAACGGCGAGUGAAGCGGGAAGAGCUCAAAUUUGAAAUCUUCAAGGUUUUACCUUGACGAAUUGUAGUUUAAAGAAGUGUUUUCUGUUGGUGUUUUGGUAAAAGUUCUUUGGAAUAGGACAUCAUAGAGGGUGAGAAUCCCGUAUUUGGUCCAUUCCUCCUAACUUUGUGAUACACUUUCAACGAGUCGGAUUGUUUGGGAAUGCAGUCCAAAAUGGGUGGUAAAUUUCAUCUAAAGCUAAAUAUUGGCGAGAGACCGAUAGCGAACAAGUACCGUGAGGGAAGAUGAAAAGAACUUUGAAAAGAGAGUUAAACAGUACGUGAAAUUGUCAAAAGGGAAGCGUUUGACACCAGUGUUGUUUCUCGAAAAUCAAUUAAAAAUGGCAGGAUUUUGUGUUGUAUUGACUUUAUCAGCUUUCUGCACUUUUUUCUUGUCUUUUUUAAUGCACUUUUCGUUUAACAAGUCAACAUCAAUUUCUUUUGCUGUAAAAGGGUCAUUGGAAGGUGGCUUUCUUUUCGGAGAAAGUGUUUAUAGCCUUUUAUCUCUGCAGUCGGGGAGAUUGAGGUCUGCAGCGUAGAUCCUUCGGGGCUAGAUACAUUUAUGCUAAGUUAUAGCUUUUCAUAGACAACUUGUUGACUAUGUUUAGUCAUGUAGCUUACUCGUAAGUGCUAUUUUACCUACGCUUAGGAUGUUGAGUCGUAGAGCACGCAG